UACGGAAGGCAGCAGUGGGGAAUAUUGCACAAUGGGCGAAAGCCUGAUGCAGCUAUGCCGCGUGUAUGAAGAAGGCCUUAGGGUUGUAAAGUACUUUCAUCGGGGAGGAAAAAACAAAACUAAUAAUUUUAUUUCUUGACGUUACCCGAAAAAGAAGCACCGGCUAACUCCGUGCCAGCAGCCGCGGUAAUACGGAGGGUGCUAGCGUUAAUCAGAAUUACUGGGCGUAAAGAGCACGUAGGUGGUUUUUUUAAAGUCAGAUGUGAAAUCCCCGGGCUUAACCUAGGAACUGCAUUUUGAAACUGAAAUACUAGAGUAUCGUAGAGGGAGGUAGAAUUCUAGGUGUAGCGGUGAAAUGCGUAGAUAUCUGGAGGAAUACCUGUGGCGAAAGCGGCCUCCUAAACGAAUACUGACACUGAGGGUGCGAAAGCGUGGGGAGCAAACAGGGAUUAGAUACC
rnacentral:rRNA from 1 species